rnacentral:rRNA from 1 species
AGCGAACGCUGGCGGCAGGCCUAACACAUGCAAGUCGAGCGCCCCGCAAGGGGAGCGGCAGACGGGAGAGUAACACGUGGGAACGUACCCUUCGGUUCGGAACAACCCAGGGAAACUUGGGCUAAUACCGGAUACGUCCGUAAGGAGAAAGAUUCAUCGCCGAGGGAUCGGCCCGCGCCUGAUUAGCUUGUUGGUGAGGUAACGGCUCACCAAGGCGACGAUCAGUAGCUGGUCUGAGAGGAUGAUCAGCCUCACUGGGACUGAGACACGGCCCAGACUCCUACGGGAGGCAGCAGUGGGGAAUAUUGGACAAUGGGCGCAAGCCUGAUCCAGCCAUGCCGCGUGGGUGAUGAAGGCCCUAGGGUUGUAAAGCCCUUUCGGCGGGGAAGAUAAUGACGGUACCCGCAGAAGAAGCCCCGGCUAACUUCGUGCCAGCAGCCGCGGUAAUACGAAGGGGGCUAGCGUUGCUCGGAAUCACUGGGCGUAAAGCGCACGUAGGCGGCUUGCUAAGUCAGGGGUGAAAUCCUGGAGCUCAACUCCAGAACUGCCUUUGAUACUGGCGAGCUCGAGACCGGGAGAGGUGAGUGGAACUGCGAGUGUAGAGGUGAAAUUCGUAGAU